rnacentral:rRNA from 1 species
CACGGGGGUUGGAGGGCAAGUCUGGUGCCAGCAGCCGCGGUAAUUCCAGCUCCAAUAGCGUAUAUUAAAGUUGUUGCAGUUAAAAAGCUCGUAGUUGAAUUUCGGGAUCAGUAGGUCGGUCAUGCCUAUGGUAUGUACUGGCUUUACUGAUUCCUCCUUCUUGAUGAACUGUAAUGUCAUUAAUUUGGUGUUGCAAGGAAUCAGGACUGUUACUUUGAAAAAAUUAGAGUGUUUAAAGCAGGCAUACGCUUGAAUACAUUAGCAUGGAAUAAUGAAAUAGGACGUUCGAUCCUAUUUUGUUGGUUUCUAGGAUUGACGUAAUGAUUAAUAGGGAUAGUUGGGGGCAUUAGUAUUCAAUUGUCAGAGGUGAAAUUCUUGGAUUUAUUGAAGACUAACUACUGCGAAAGCAUUUGCCAAGGAUGUUUUCAUUAAUCAAGAACGAAAGUUAGGGGAUCGAAGACGAUCAGAUACCGUCGUAGUC